CGGGUGAGUAAUGUAUGGGGAUCUGCCUGAUGGCGGGGGAUAACUACUGGAAACGGUAGCUAAUACCGCAUAAUGUCUGCGGACCAAAGCGGGGGACCUCCGGGCCUCGCGCCAUCAGAUGGACCCAUAUGGGAUUAGCUAGUAGGUAAGGUAACGGCUUACCUAGGCGACGAUCCCUAGCUGGUCUGAGAGGAUGAUCAGCCACACUGGGACUGAGACACGGCCCAG
rnacentral:rRNA from 1 species